rnacentral:rRNA from 1 species
UACGGAGGGAGCCAGCGUUGUUCGGAAUUACUGGGCGUAAAGCGCACGUAGGCGGCUACUCAAGUCAGAGGUGAAAGCCCAGGGCUCAACCCUGGAACUGCCUUUGAAACUAGGUAGCUAGAAUCUUGGAGAGGUCAGUGGAAUUCCGAGUGUAGAGGUGAAAUUCGUAGAUAUUCGGAAGAACACCAGUGGCGAAGGCGACUGACUGGACAAGUAUUGACGCUGAGGUGCGAAAGCGUGGGGAGCAAACAGG